AUUUGGGAGAGACUGUACAUACAGCACCGAAGGGGAAAUACACACAUAAACUCUCAGGUAAAAGGACCGAAUC
rnacentral:ncRNA from 1 species